ensembl:lncRNA
ACACACACACACACACACACACACACACACACACACACACACAAUCAUGACAAUAAAUAAGCAAUAAUAAAUCCUAUCAGAAUAAAAUCUAACCCAUUUUCCAAUUAUGGAAUAUGGAAUAUCUCCAAUUCCGAAAUAUGUAAGAAAUAAUUAUUAAUAACACCGCAGCCCACUCACAGUUUAGCUGCUGCUUUGUUUGCAAACACGCCGCUUCACAGAUGCUUUGAUAAUCCCCCACUGGUAGAACAGUCUGACCAUCUUUCCUUCCAUCUGCCAGCUUACAAACCACUCAUUAACAGGAUUAAACCAACUAGCAAAAUGGUUAGAGUAUGGCCCGAAGGAGCAAUGUCACAGCUAGAGAACUGUUUUGAGCACAAAGAGUGGAAUGUAAACUCCUCUUUACAUCUAGAGCAAUACACCUCAUCUGUCUUGUCCUACAUUAAUUACAAUAAAAACAAUAACCGCCGACAUAUGUGGCAAGGCAUACAAGCUGCCACAGACCACAAAAGGAAUGCUAACCCACCCAUGAACAACAACCUCUCCUUAGCAGUGGAACUCAACAUGUUCUUUGCUCGCUCUGACAGAGAGAACAAUAGUGGGGAAAGAGUUAGGCCUGCACUGCCACCUGUCCAGCAUCAACCACCAACACCGAACACUAACAAGCUCAGAAGGGUUCUGUGCAGCGUCAAUGUGAGGUAAGCAGCUGGUCCUGAUGGUGUCCUAGGGUGCAUACUUUGUGCAUGUGCCAGCCAGCUGACAGCGGUCUUCACCAGCAUUUUCAACCUCUCCUUGACCAAUGCCAUUGUCCAUACCUGCCUCAAAACUACAAUUGUGCCCAUCCCCAAAAAGCAAGAUAUGAGCUGUCUGAAUGACUACUGUCCGACUGAACUCACACCUCUAAUAUCCAAGUGCUUUGAGAAGCUGAUUCUGGCACAUACUAAAACUACCUGCCACUCUGGACCAGUAUCAGUUUGCUUAUCGGACAAACAGAUCAACAGAAAAUGCAAUGAGCCUCGCCCUCCACACUGCCUUGGAACCCCUGGAAAGGCUGAACACAUAUAUCAGAAUAAUCUUCAUUGACUUCAGUUCGGCCAUCAACAUGGUCAUCCACAAUGCACAGUGUCCAAACUCCACAGCCUAGGCCUAAGCAUAGUUGUUCUGCAGCUGGACUCUGGACUUCCUGACUUCCUAGAUUUCCUGUCUCCAGUACAUCAGGUUAGGAAAGCACACAUCCUCCACUCACACCAUAUAUACUGGUGUUCCACAGGGAUGUGUGUUGAGCCCCAUUUGUAUGCACUCUUCACCCACGACUGCCUACCUGCUCAUGCAACACACACCAUUGUGAAGUUCACAAGACAGUCACUGGGCUGAUCACAAACAAUGAUGAGACUGCAUACAGGGAUGAGGUCCGAAAUCUGACAACCUGGUGCUCCUCUCAUCCUUCAUAGCAGGAAGACAAAGGAGAUUGUGGUGGACUUCAAGAAGAAAAGGAGAAUGACCUUAGUCCUGUGAUCAUAAAUGGCAAGACUUGGAGAGAGUCCCCAGUUUCUUGAACAUUACAGAGGACUUCUCCUGGUCCAUGAACUCCUCCACUGUCAUUGGAAAGGCACAACAGCUCCUCUACUUCCUGAGAAGACUGAGGAGAGUGAGACUGCCCCAGGAUCUUUUUGUGAACUUAUAUCGAUGUACAGUGGAGAGUGGACUGACGUACUGCAUUACAGAAUGGUAUGCCAGCUGCACAAGAGAAGACCAGACGGUCAUCAGGUCCGCAGAAAAAUCAUCAAGGACACAGGCUCAAUCAUACUGGAAACAUCCACCACAAAGUUUGAAGUGUUGUGUGUUCUUUGACACUUUUUUCCUCACCAUGGUUGUAAAGAGUGCUUAUUUGAGGUACUAUAGACUUCCUGUCAGCUCAGACCAUUCUGGUCAUUCUCAUCUGAUCACUCUUGUCAACAAGAUGUUUCAGCCUGCAGACCCUUCACACACAGGAUCCCCCCCGCACCAUUCUGUGUGAACACUAGAGACUGUUGUGUAUGAAAUCCCCAGGAGUUCAGCAGUUUCUGACAUACUCAAACCAGCCUGUCAGGCACCAACAACCAUGCCACAGUUAAAGUUACAGAGAUCACACUUUUUCACCAUUCUGAUGUUUGGUGUGAACUAGGAAUGUGAUGGUAAGGAAAUUUUCCCACCAGAUAAUCGACGUAUGACAACACCGGUAAUACCGAUAUGACCGGGGGGAGGGGCCAAAAGGGGUUCCCCCUCUCUUAUGGAUGCCCAUGUGGAAGUGCGCAUUUCACUUUCACUUGAUAAAUGAAAUCUGACACCUGCUGAUCUGUGCUGUGACUCUGACUCAUUCUAAAUUGAGCAGACGUGUUCAGCUUUUAAUUAUAGCAUCCGUUCUCUAACGGAACUAAAUUCAUUUCUAUUAUUAUAAAAAGGCAAAAUGAUGGUGGGGGAGGUGCCACGGUGGGUGGCAAAUGUAAUUGGUGUGUGGCCCCAACACUGGUAACACCAGGAACACUGGCUAUCGCAGCAAGCCUAAUGUGAACAUUAACUAUGACCUGUAGCUGUAUGAAUUAUUGCAUUGUGCUGCUGUUGCAUGAUUGGCUGAUUAGAUAAGUGCAUAAAUAUGCAGGUGUACAGGUGCCUAAUAAAGUCGAUGGUGAGUGUAUGAAAAUUGAAAAUUCUUUCUUUACUGUGGGGCCUUUAUAAGCUGGGGACUUCUGUAGGUUAAAUAUGGGAAAGGUCUUGCCCGUGGUGAUCAGAUUCUUGACUACUGUUAUUUUACACUUAAGGACAGUCUCACAGCCAUCCCUCAACCAGCAUUUGGCAAGGCUAAUCACAUUUCCAUACUCCUUUUGUCUGCUUACAGAAAUUGAAGCCAGUUUCCUGUAUACUUUAUUAAUGAUGCAAUCAGCAUACUCCAGGCUUGCUUCAAAACCACAGACUGGCAGAUAUUCCACAAUGCUGUCACAGCAAACAUCAGACAGUCUGAAGGAUCACUAAGGACUGCUCCUCAGUGUGGAAAGACCUCCAAAAACUCACAAACUACAAAAAGAAGCCACCCAGCUGUAAAGCCAACCCCCACUAGACCAACCAGCUAAAUCAUUUCUGUUGCCAGUUUGAGAGACAAGGGUCCUCCAACAUUGAUGACAGUAAAACACCCCACACACUUUGGCAUCUUUCUGCCUCUGCUACCAACACAUCUAUCCCACUACCCCCUCACAUCACUCCAACAAACAAAGACAUACAACUGUAUGCUUCCAACUUUGUGGGGAAGGCCCUUUCCUGUUCCAGCACGACCUGAGCAAGAUCAAGGUCCAUAAAGGUAUGACUGGAUGAGUUUGUAGUGAAGGAACUCCAACAUCCUGCAAAGAGUCCUGACCUCAACCCCACUGAACACCUUUAGCAAUAAUAUGGAAUGCUGAAAUGCAAGUCAGGCCUUCUCAUCCAGCAUAAAUGCCUGACCAGUCAAAUUCCUACAGACACACUCCAAAAUCUUGUAGAAAGCCUUCCCAGAGGAGUGGAAGCUGUUAUAGCUGUAAAGGGGGUGGAGGCAACUCCAUAUUAAUGCCCAUGGUUUUGGAAUGGCAUGUCCAAGAAGCUUUUAUAGGUGUGAUGGUUAGGUGCCUACAUACCUUUGGCCAUAUAGUGUAUGUGAGAAUUUUGUCUAUCUUUGUUCCCACCAAACUCAUCAUGAAUUCAAAAAUCUGGGGCAGAUGGAUCAUGGACUUCCUGACAGGCAGACCCCAAUGGGUGAGAAUCAGUAACUCAACCUCCUACACACUGACUCCGAACAUAGGUUUAUCCUGUUUAGUUAUGCUUUAUCCUGUUUAGACAGGCCAAAUUUGGACAUUUUCACUUAGGAGUGUACUCACUUUUGUUGCCAGCAGUUUAGACAUUAAUGGCUGUGUGUUGAGUUAUUUUGAGGGGACAGCAAAUUUACACUGUUACACAAGCUGUACACUCACUACUUUACAUUGUAGCAAAGUGUCAUUUCUUCAGUGUUGUCACAUGAAAAGACAAUCAAAUAUUUACAAAAAUGUAAGGGGUGUACUCACUUUUGUGAGAUACUGUAGGUGCUGAGGAAUGAUCACGUUGAACGCUUAAGUCUACAAACAACAUCCGAACGUAGGUGUAAUUUCUAUCCGGGUGGGUGAGGGCCAGAUGUAGGGUGGUGGCUAUGGCAUCAUCUGUUGAGCAGUUGGGAUGAAACGCCAAUUGCAGGGGCAAAGUGAGGGGGGCAGCAGGAUCUUGAUUCGUGCUUCAUUCGGUACAGGGACAAUGGUGGUGGCCUUGAAGCACAUUGGAACAACAGCUCUACUCAUGUAGACAUUGAAGAUGUCAGUGAGAACAUCCACCAGCUGGUCUGCACAUCCUCUGGGCACUCUGCCAGGAAUGCUGUCUGGUCCAGCAGCUUUCUGUGGGUUGACUCGGCAUGGAAUCUUCCUCACAUCAGCCGUGGUUAACACAGCACCUGGUUGUUGGGAAGAGGGAUGGUCUUCCUCACCAAACUGAGCGUGGAAGUUGUUCAGCACAUCUGGAAGGGAGGCAUCACUGUCACAGGUGGGUGAUGUUGUCCUAUGUUUGCUGAUGGCGUGAGUGCCCUGCCACAUGCGCUGCAUAUAGCCACUGUCCAGGAAGUGGCUGUGGAUUUUCUGCAUGCUUUGCCUCUCUGAUGGCCCGGGACAGUUUGGCCAUCCCUGUUCUUAGUGCCGCCUUAUCUCCUGCUCUGAAGGCAUAGACUCAGGUCCUCAGCAGAGCAUGCACCUCCACAGUCUUCUGGUCUGAAUAUGAUGGUCUUGGAGACAGUGAUGCCAUCAAUGCACUUGCUGAUGUAGCUGGUCACUAAUGCUGUGUAUUCCUCUAAGCUGCUGGAGUCGCUAUAAGUUGCAGCCUCCCUGAACAUGUACCAAGCAGUGUGCCCAAAACAGUCCUGAAGAGCAGAGAUGGUUCCUGCUGGCCAGGUUUUCUCCUACUUCAAAAUCAGUUUGGUACAUCUGAUGAGUAGUCUGUAUGAUGGGAUUAGUAGUCGAGGUGGGGGUGGGGCUCUGCCCAGUAUGCGCUGGGGAUGUUUGUGUAAACAAGAUCCAGAGCGUUCGCCCCUCUCUGUGCAAGAUCCACGUUAAUGGAUUUUACGGAGCAUUGACCUCUGGCAACAAUAAACAGUCCAUCAGGGUGUGUAUUCUGCAGUUUGUUCAUAGCCCCAAACAGUUCACAGUGCACUACCUUCAUAUUAGCACUGAGGGGAAUGCACGCUCCGAUUAUAAGGACAGUGGUGAAUUCCCAUGUUAAAUAAAAUGGUCUGCACCUAACGGUCACAAACUCCACAGUGAGCAGUAAAUAGAAAUUAGCACAGGGUUCUUGCACUAUGCAGUGUUGAUGUAAACACAUAAGCCACCACUGCCAGUCUUACCACACAGAGCUGCAUUUCUGUUGCCGCGUAAUGAGGAGAGCCUCUAGCUGAAUGGCAGCCACAUACCUGAGUAGACAAAGACACAGCAGUCUCUAAACUCACGCCGUGUAGAUUGCUGGAGUUGGAUCGGGUCGAAUUAAUUGUCCAGGGAGCAGACACUGAAGAGCAGAAUUGAUGGGAGAGCCAACUGGCUAGGGUUUGUUUUUAGCCUAGCAUGCCCUUUUGCCGUGCUUCCCCUUUCUCACACACUGCUUAUGACAUCCCCUCCCCCAGCCACCAGCAUCAGGUGACACUGAGGGCUGGAGGCCUGGUCCUCACAGCAAGCAAAAUUGCAUAGCUUCUCAAGCAGACCAUCAUGCAGUCUUUUCAAUCUGGAUGAGGCACUGCAACAAGGCAAUAUCCAUCACUCCACGUCACCCGCUGCAAUAAGCUUUUUCUUUGUGGCCAAGAAGGGGGGCAGCCUCAGACCAUAUAUUGACUAUUGGGGGCUCAACCAGUGCUCAGUCAAGUAUUCAUAUUCCCUUCCACUAGUCACCUCAGCCCUGGAACAGCUGCGAACCACCAAGUACUUCACCAAGAUGGACCUCCGAAGUGCAUACAACCUGGUGCGGAUACGGGAAGGGGACGAGUGGAAAAUGGCAUUCAGUACAGCGACUGGCCAUUAUGAAUAUCGCGUCAUGCCACAUGGGAUCUCUAGCACCCCCUCAGGGCCAGUUUCAAGGAAAUACACAGAGUAACAGUCAGCCUCACCUUGGGAUAGCACCCAGAGUCCAAUGGCCAGGUUGAUUGGGCCAACCAGGAGAUAGGCCACUUGCUCCGCUCUUUUUGUAGCCAAAACCCUGCAGACUGGUCACAGUUCCUGGGCAGAGUAUGCCCAAAACUCCCUUUGCCGUUCAGCCACUCAGUGCGCACUGGGUUAUCAGCCACCCCUGUUUCCUUGCAACACCACUCCCACCAACUCACCUGUGGUGGAUGAAUGGUUCCGGCAUAGCGAGCAGGUGGUGGCAUACAUCCUCCAAAGACUACAACAAGCGUCUCAAACCUCCAAAUAACAAGCUGAUUGUUACAGAAGACCCACACCCCGCUAUAAACCAGGAGACAGGACGUGGUUUUCCACCAGAUACUUGCCUCAAGCCCAGGUCUGUAAAAAUCCAAGUCCUCGAUACACCGGUCUGUUCAAGAUACUGAAACCAAUCAACGAUGUCACAUGCAAACUGGACCUUCCCCGACACUGGCACAUAGCCCACACAUUUCAAGUGUCCCAUCUCACGCCAGUUGUGACAGGACCCCUUGCCAUUAACCAACCAACCAGGAUCGAACCCCCCCCC